CUGGUUCAGACUCCAGAUACUCAAAAGGCUUUUAAAGCUCUUCAGAUUGCUCUCCUGCCAGCUCCUGCUUUGAGCUUGCCCACAGGGUCAGAAUUUAAUUUGUUUGUCACUGAAAGAAAAGAUCGGCCUGAUAAUCUAUGUGAGCUUGCUUCUGCUAACUCCAAAUAUCCAGCAUCUGCCAUUUAACCCUCAAGACAAUGCCUUCCUGUCCUGGGAUCACUUCUAUGCUGCAUUUCACAGUCUAAUUACUGGGUCUCUGGAGUACUCCAUUCUUACUCAGUGGAAGGCUUCCAUGGUGGGCAUCUCCACUUGAAGGAAAGGACUUUCUCCAAGUCUGCAAAUCUUUCUACAAGGACAAUCAUAUGUGAUGCCUCUUCUUAAUAUGAUGACAUCUAACAAUCCUAAGAUGGACUGGUGCAACACUUUGUACCUUAACUAUGGGCACUAUGAGACUUUUAACUUUGCUGAUUGUUCUGUUUUUGCUGUUUGCUCCCUGCAUCUGUAAGUGUGUGGCUGGAUUUGUUUCUAGCUGCAUGAAGGAUUUUAAGUGACAAAUGGUUGCUCAAACUCCUGCCACUGUGGCAGCUUCCUCCAACUACUACUUGGGGCCCCUGGAUCAGAGACCCUCAAUAUGAGGGUUAGGAGAAUAUGUUGCCUCACUAAUUUAGGGACGAUGCCCCUUAUCAGCUUGGAAGCAGUUACAGAAUGAGAACAGUGCUCCUUUCCCUAGGAAACAUAAUUCUCCUAAAAGAAAAGGGAGGAAAAAGAGGGUAACAGGCAGAAAGGCUCAGUUCAGUUCAGUUCAGUUCAGUCGCUCAGUCGUGUCUGACUCUGCAACCCCAUGAAUUGCAGCACACCAGGCCUCCCUGUCCACCAUCAACUCCCGGAGUUCACUCAAACUCAUGUUCUUCGAGUUGGUGACGCCAUCCAGCCACCUCAUCCUCUGUUGUCCCCUUCUCCUCCUGCCCCCAAUCCCUCCCAGCAACAGAGGCUUUUCCAAUGAGUCACCUCUUCACAUGAGGUGGCCAAAGUAUUGGAGUUUCAGCUUCAGCAUCAGUCCUUCCAAUGAACACCCAGGACUGAUCUCCUUUAGAAUGGACUGCUUGGAUCUCCUUGCAGUCCAAGGGAUUCUCAAGAGUCAUAGUCUGCAAAUGUCAGACAUUUUUUAUCUCUCUCUCAAGUGGCAGGAGGAAACAAACUACAAGUGUCAGAUUUCUUUUCCCUUCUCUAUACAAAAUUAAAAAUGCUUCCUCUUAAAAUUCUAUGUUGCCAUGAUGACACCUGGUUCCACCUGAAUUUAACUUUUCUCAAAUCUUGAGCCAACCAAUGCAUUUUUCUUACAGAAAUGUUUUUCUUAAGCUAUGUUAAUGAACUAUGUAUUUAACCCCUAGACUCCCUGUUUCUUCAAGUCGGUUUCACCUAAGACGCAGAACCAAUAAUGACUCAACAAACCAGUAUGUUUUACUCAUACAAUUGUUCUCUUAAUCUAUGUUAAUGAGACUAUAUAUUUGAUUGGAAACCUGCCUUUCUUCAUGCCAAUCAUUU
ensembl:lncRNA